rnacentral:rRNA from 1 species
GAUAAACGCUGGCGGCGUGCAUGAGACAUGCAAGUCGAACGGACGAUCGAGGCUUGCUUCGAUCGUUAGUGGCGGACGGCUGAGUAACGCGUAGGUGACCUGCCCCGAAGUGGGGAAUAACUGCCCGAAAGGGUGGCUAAUACCGCAUGUGGUGGUGUGUUCAAUCACACCAGUAAAGCCGCAAGGCGCUUCGGGAGGGGCCUGCGUCCGAUUAGCUCGUUGGUGGGGAACGGCUCACCAAGGCGACGAUCGGUAGGUGGUCUGAGAGGACGAUCACCCAGACUGGGACUGAGACACGGCCCAGACUCCUACGGGAGGCAGCAGUCGGAAUUUUGCGCAAUGACGAAAGUCUGACGCAGCAACGCCGCGUGAGGGAUGACGGCCU